CGUUUCUAUUCUCUCUCUCCCUUUUUUUUCUUCCUUUGUAGCUGUAAUGCUUCGUUGGUCUCUCUUAAAGACGGGCAGAAUGAAGGAAAAGAAAGGAAAAGC
rnacentral:ribozyme from 1 species